AUUCACUUCAAUGGCACACAUAUUAAAAUUGAAAUGACACAGAAUAAAUUAGCAUGGCCCCUGUGCAAGGAUGACAGGCAAAUUUGUGAAGCGUUCCAUAUUUUU